rnacentral:rRNA from 1 species
UUGGAGGGCAAGUCUGGUGCCAGCAGCCGCGGUAAUUCCAGCUCCAAUAGCGUAUAUUAAAGUUGUUGCAGUUAAAAAGCUCGUAGUUGAAUUUCGGGGUUAGUAGGUUGGUCAUGCCUCCGGUAUGUACUGGUCUCACUGAUUCCUCCUUCCUUAUGAACCGUAAUGCCAUUAAUUUGGUGUUGCGGGGAAUUUGGACUGUUACUUUGAAAAAAUUAGAGUGUUUAAAGCAAGCUAACGCUUGAAUACAUUAGCAUGGAAUAAUGAAAUAGGACGUUCG